AAACCCCAUUUUACAGAGGCCGAUAUUGCAGCAGCAUGUAUUCGUUUUAGUUUGCGCUUCGCGGUCUGCUCCUCCUGACGCACCUAUUCAGGGCAUUUUCUAGCAGAGAUCGUUGUGAGAUCGCAGGUCGGAAGGAUGACAGAUCGAGUGUAUUUCUCGUUGUUUGCUGUUUUAUCGUGUCUGUUCGGAUACUUGAGCAUAACUCACGCUAUUCUAAGACAAACCACAGUGGACGGUUUAUGUUCGGCGCAGCUGACGGUCGUGCCGUCCCAUCGAGGAUGUUCUUCUGAUAAAGACUGCCCUGGAGGAC